GGAGCGGCGGGGCCGGUUCCGUUCGGCGGGGCCGGUUCGGUUCGGCGGGGCCGGUUCCGGAGCGGCGGGGCCGGUUCGGGAGCGGCGGGGCCGGUUCGGUUCGGCGGGGCCGGUUCCGAUGCAGUUCCCCGCGGGCCCGGCCGGCCUGGCCGCCCCCCUGCUCGCCCUGCCCGCGGCAGCGGCCCUGAGCGCCGGCGGCCCCCCGGGCCCGGCCCUGAUCCUGAUCCUGAUCCCGAUCCUGAUCCUGCUGCUCCUCAUCCUCAGCGGCUCCAUCGGCCUCUGCCAGGACCCGCUGUACUGCGUGCUGCUGCUGUUCUCCUUCGUGUCGGCCGUGGAUCUGCUCAUCGCACUGGAGGAGGACGGGAUCAUCUCGGGCUUCACUGAGCUCUACGUGCGGGAGGCCGAUCCCCAGCUCCGCACGGCUCACGGGCUCCUCACGUGUUACUGGGACGGUACCGUGCACUACGGGCUGGGCCUGGCCAUGGCCGCGGCCAUCGGCACCGGGAGGAAUUACCGGGGCCUGGGGCUCUUCUGGCUCGGCUCGCUGCUGAUGAGCGCCGUGGUUUUCCUGCUCGGGAACCUGAUCGGGAAAUACAGCCCCGAGCUGAGCCCGUCCUUCCUCUUCAGCCUGCCCUACCUCCUCCUCCUCACCUGGGCCGGGCUCCGGCUGUUCCGGCAGCCGCGGCCGCUGCCGAACCUCAGCCCCGAGCAGAUCGCGGAGGAGCAGCGCAAACCCCUCUACCAGCGACCCCAGGACCUGCUCCUCAUCCUCAUCCUCAUCCUCACCGCUGCCUUCACCUUCUUCAGGGGGAUGGUGGUCCUGGACUGCCCGGCCGAUUCCUGUUUCGACUACACCUACCUGCACGAGCCCUACCUGCGCGACCCCGUGGGUUACCCCAAAGUUCAGAUGCUGAUCUACCUGUUCUACCUGCUGCCCUUCCUCAUCCUCGCCAUCUACGGGCUGGCGCUGCCCGCCUGCUCCUGGCUGCCCGACUGGAGCCUCGUGGUGGCCGGAGCUGUGGCGCAGGCUCAGUUCGCACACGUGGGCUCCUCGCUGCACCCCCGCACGCCGUUCCCGUACCAGACCCCCGACGAGGUCCUGUGGAGUUUCCUUCUCUCCAAUGUCCUGUACGCGCUGGGCCCGCAGCUCCUGGCGCUGCGCUGCCUGCGCUCCCCGGCCUUCUUCCUCCUCCUCCCCGCUGCCCCCGGCACGGCCCGCCACAAGAAAUACCUGUGACAUGUCCUGCUGUCCCCUCUGGGCUGCUGUCACCACCCCGGGGCUGCUGUCACCACCCUGGGGCUGCUGUCACCACCCGGGACCUGCUGUCCCCAUCCCGGUCCCGUUGUCCCCACCCCGGCGGAUCCCGCCCGGUGCCUCUCGCCCCGCUCCGCGCUCUGUGCCCAGGGGUGUCCCCAGAAGUGUCCCCAGAGGUGUCACCAGAGAUGUCCCCAGAGGUGUCCCCGGACGUGUCCCCAGGGUGUCCCCAGGGAUGCUCCGCUCCCCCAAAAGCUGUGGGGACCCCGGGAUGCUCCGCGGGGACAUCGCUGCAGCCCCGGCCCUGCCCCGGUGGCGCUGCUGGGGGGACUCAGGAGCCGCGGUCCCUCCCGGGGGUCCCGGGGGUCCCGGUCCCGGUCCCGGGGGUCCCGCUGGGCUCCGGGGGUCCCGGU